UGGGAAGGAAAAAAAGGCAACUCAGUGUUGUAUGCAAACGUCGGCAAACAAACAGUGAGCUGCAGCUGGCCGGCCGGCGACGGGGGCAGGCUCCUCGGAGGGCGGGCGGUUCCGGCUCCCCGCCCCGGGCGCCCGCACGGUAGCCGCCUGUGGCGGGACGCAGUGGACGGGGAAGAUGUGGUGUUUGCAAAGGCGGGCGUUCCAGAGACCAAGUGCUGAGCAAACACUCAUGUUUCUGAGACUCAGACCAGGUGUUUGCUGCUGCUUCUCUACGCCCUCUCUUGUUUUCCCGGCGAAGGCUUGCAGGGAGCUCCCUGCUCCGGGGCUGAACUUUAGUCCCCCAGUUGCAAUCUCUGUGGGUCUCGUGGUUUCUUUCUCUCUUUCUCUCUCUCCUUUUUUUUUUUUCCCCUCUGUGGGAGCAAUAGACCGAGCCAGAGGGUUCUUUCCCGCCUCCCUGGAGCUUGGGUCUGAGAAAGUUCUGAUUCACUCUGAGCAUCAAUCUUCCUUGCUGACUCUCCCUCCCCAACUUGCUACCUCCUAUUUUUUUUUUUUUUUAAGAUUCUUUUUGUCCUGCCCUGUUCCCGGCCCGCUCCCCAUCUCCCCAACUCCUAAGGAACUUUCUCAUCCUUGUAUUCAGAACUCCCGUUUAUUUGUCUCCGCGCUCCUGACCAACCUCCCAGCCCUCGCUUGGCCUCACCUACCCCAGCACAUUAGAAUAUGAAUCAUGCUCUAAAGAUGGCCUUUCAGUUCCUUCGCUUCCUAGCCUUACUCACAUCCUCCUCCUCAGCCUGGAAUGUCUGCAUUCCCGUUUCCUUCAAAGCUUAGUUAAAUCCCAACUUCCCCACAGAAUCCUUCCCAAAUUUCUCCUUUUGUCUGCCGGCUCUGCUUCUCUGCUGUAAUUCAGCGGCCAUCUGCCUCCCUCUAGGCUCCGAGACUUCUGUGUUUCCCCAGGAUGGCCUAGGGGACCGGGGCCUGUGUCAAGCAGGCGCUUAAUGAAUGUUUCCUGAAUUUAACCGGCAGCCGGCCUGAUCUCACCUGGGCCAUCAGUCUGGGAGCCGAAGGGGCCCUGUGUACCGUCCGUGGGCUCAGGAAAGCUUUACAAAACACGGGAAGGGGCAUCCAGACUUUACCAGAGCCAGCCUCCCCUCAGGUGUAAGUUCGCGAGGGUAACAGAAUGGACGGCAUUCACUGAGCCUCUGCUACUACAUUUAGAAAACCUAUAAAGUGGAGCUUACUUAAUAGAAUGCCAGGAAUAUUCCCCAAAGAUGGAGAAACUGGUAACUCAGGUCAGGAAGUGGCAGAAUGAGGAUUUGAACCCACAUCUAUCUGUCUACCCAGCCUACAAUUUUUCCAUUCUGCUGAAAGCUGGGAGGAACCUUAGGCAGUGUCUCAUCGGCUGGUUUUCAAACCGGAUUCUAAGGAACACGAGGCUCUCCAGGAAGUGCUUUAGGAAUCUUUGGGGAAGAACUGGGAAAGAGGACGUGUGUUGGGAGGCCAGAACAAUGACCUAUCAGCAAUCUAACCUCAGAGACUGAAGCAAGAAGGAAGACACAACUACGUGCAUGAAUAUACAACUGUUUUUAUGUAUGUACAUGUUAUGAAGCUAUGCCACAGAGGAAGAAAAUAGAGAUAACUACAUAAAAUAAGAAGUUGCAAGAAACAAUCAACAAUGAAUCUGGCAAUGGGUGCUCUGUGCCGCUGAUUCUGAAAUCUCUCCUUUUGAAGUCGCUUUAAUGAGCCCAAGACUGACCAUUUUCAUUAUCUCUAGUUUAUACACUCGGCUGAUGGAACUCUGAUUAGGAAAAUUUCUCUUUUUCUUCACUUUCUUUUAUCACCAAACACCCUGAAAAUGAUAAGAGAGCAGUGUGUCCUGAAGCAUGGGGCUCUCCCUUCCCUCUGAAAUUAUUUCUAUUUCAUCUGUGGUUUUUUUUUUUUAAACUACUCCUUACAAAAGAACAAUAGAAGGACCUAAAUUUCUGUCUUAGCACUAAAUGCAUCUCAGUGCUGCGGAAACAUUUCAUUUUCUAGCGAUUUCAGGGUCUGUAUAUUCCCUGCUGUUAUAGUCUUUAUCCAAAUAAAAAGAAAGGAAAAAAAGGACACAAGAAAGAAAAGAAGAAACCCUACAUGACAAGAACAUUAAACCCCAAGGGUGGUUCAUUUCAAUGCUGAAGUCUUUCUUCAGUGCUCCAGGGACGCUGAUGUCAAUGUCUUAAUAAGGGAAGUAAAGCGGUUUAUACGCCUCAGAGCACGUGCACUCAAACCAGAAAAUUGGUGUGAAAGGGAGGAAGCCAGCCCUGCCUUGGACCAAUGGCAGCCACAAAGUAAGGGGCCUCUUCUGGUGAGGACCACAUGACACCAUUUGCAGAGGGCAGACUUAAUGUUGUCACCAUUAGGGCUGGAAGAAAACAUCUUUGAAGAAAUAUUUGUUUUAUCCCCCUCCCCCAAAUCUUGAAAUCAUCUCAUACAUAUGUUGGAAAUAAUUCUACCUGAAUUUAAUUAAAUUCUAUUUUUAUAAUGUUAAAAUAACCUUGCACUGCAAAUUGAAACGACAUUUCUGUAACCUAGAGUGAUUUUGCCAUCGUGAGAACUGCUAUAUCAGGCAUUAUAUUUCAAUUUGGAAUAUCAUGAAUUAUUUCUACAUAUAAACUAAUAAAUUAUACAAUACGAUGUGUCAGCAAUUCGGCCCCAUUUGCAUUUUGAUAAACAGAAAAGCAAAUGGAAAUCUGAGAGCCAUUAGUUUGUCUGAAUUUUUAAAUAUUCUGUAAGUAAUAUUUAAUGAUAUAAAAUUUUUAUUAUCCCAUUUUUUGCUUUGCUUCACAUUGUUUAGGCUUUGAGAUUCCUAGUGAUGAUUUGCCAAAAUAAAAGCAUGAAAAUAAAAUGGAGAGAUUUAUCCACA